UACGUAGGGUGCAAGCGUUGUCCGGAAUUAUUGGGCGUAAAGAGCUCGUAGGCGGUCUGUUGCGUCGGCUGUGAAAACCCGGGGCUCAACUCCGGGCCUGCAGUCGAUACGGGCAAGCUAGAGUAUUGCAGGGGAGACUGGAAUUCCUGGUGUAGCGGUGAAAUGCGCAGAUAUCAGGAGGAACACCAGUGGCGAAGGCGGGUCUCUGGGCCGAUAUCGACGCUGAGGAGCGAAAGCGUGGGGAGCGAACAGG
rnacentral:rRNA from 1 species